rnacentral:rRNA from 1 species
AGUGAACGCUGGCGGUAGGCCUAACACAUGCAAGUCGAACGGCAGCACAGUAAGAGCUUGCUCUUACGGGUGGCGAGUGGCGGACGGGUGAGGAAUACAUCGGAAUCUACUUUUUCGUGGGGGAUAACGUAGGGAAACUUACGCUAAUACCGCAUACGACCUACGGGUGAAAGCAGGGGAUCUUCGGACCUUGCGCGAUUGAAUGAGCCGAUGUCGGAUUAGCUAGUUGGCGGGGUAAAGGCCCACCAAGGCGACGAUCCGUAGCUGGUGUGAGAGGAUGGUCAGCCACACUGGAACUGAGACACGGUCCAGACUCCUACGGGAGGGAGCAGUGGGGAAUAUUGGACAAAGGGCGCAAGCCUGAUCCAGCCAUACCGCGUGGGUGAAGAAGGCCUUCGGGUUGUAAAGCCCUUUUGUUGGGAAAGAAAAGCAGCAGGUUAAUACCCCGCUGUUCUGACGGUACCCAAAGAAUAAGCACCGGCUAACUUCGUG